rnacentral:rRNA from 1 species
GACGUAGGGCGCGAGCGUUGUCCGGAUUUAUUGGGCGUAAAGAGCUCGUAGGCGGUCUGUCGCGUCGGAUGUGAAAACCCAGGGCUCAACCCUGGGCCUGCAUUCGAUACGGGCAGACUAGAGUGUGGCAGGGGAGACUGGAAUUCCUGGUGUAGCGGUGAAAUGCGCAGAUAUCAGGAGGAACACCGGUGGCGAAGGCGGGUCUCUGGGCCGAAUACUGACGCUGAGGAGCGAAAGCGUGGGGAGCGAACAGG